rnacentral:rRNA from 1 species
CACCGCGGUUAUACGAGAGGCCCAAGUUGACAAACACCGGCGUAAAGCGUGGUUAAGCUAAAAACAUACUAAAGCCAAACACCUUCAAGACUGUUAUACGUAACCGAAGGCAGGAAGUACAACCACGAAAGUCGCUUUAUCAAACCUGAACCCACGAAAGCUAAGGAA